GGGAGACAAAUGGAGUUCUCGACGCAUCGACGAGUCACUGCUCAGCGUAUAAAUAGAGCUCACAGUGCGACAAGCAACCAUUCGCAAAAAAUAAGUGUUCAAGUGAAAUUCGUCGUGAAACUAGAAAAAAUUCAAAAAAAAAAAAAAAGUAAAAUAUAAAGUCAACUGUUCCGGAUCGCAGUGUUUUUAUAUAUAUAGAGAUACAUAUAUAUUGUAUAUACGUGUACACAUUAGUCAUCAGAAAUGAAAAAGUGUAAAGAAGCUGCUGUAAAGGCGAAUCUGCGAAGUUACAACAUGGCACGAAGGCUAAAAUAAUUGCUAGUACACAACAUUUCACCAUUUUGGCUCUGAACAAAGAAAACACGUCGUCACCAUCACAAUGGGCUCUCAGGCAAUUUUCGCAAUGAGGAAAUGGGGGCAACACAAAACCGCUUGGCAGUGCGGAAACAGAGUUGUUCGUCUCGUCUUUGUCUAGAAAGUUGGUCAUUAGGCAGGCUGUACUGUAAGACAGAUGCCAGGGACCAGAUGUUUCAUUUGCCAGGCUUCUUAAGGCUUAGGCAGGCAACGAAGGAGCUCUAGUAUCCACAGCCAUUAACGGUUUGAGGAGUUAACAAGGGAAGCCAGGUGUAGACGCCAUUCUCUUGUUGUUAUACUUGGGCGUUGAAAGUUGAUACGCGAUCGAUCGAUGUUUAACUCGAACCCUUAGCGGGCAAAAGGGCAAUUACAAUUGCUGAAAAUGCAGUUGGCUCAUUUGCCCUGUGGGGUGUUUUCGAGAGUGUUCGAGAAUUUGGCCUACACGGGGCUACAUCGUUUUUAUCUAAGAUUGAUUGCGUGGAUUGAAUUAUAGGAACCUAUAUCGACUUCUCUGCUCUACUAUGACCUGUUUGAAAAGGCGUCCAGUUAUUUACGGCCUUCUGUUUAUUUGCCGAUCAUCAUCAAUGAACCGAUAUCACUACCGAAUAAACAGAAUGUUGUACACAUUACUGACAUCGAUCGUUUAAAGCAAUUGAAAUAUCGUAUCUGGAGUAGCAACUGAACGAACCGAAUGCUAGUUCGUUAGACGCGCCACAAGCAACAAUAUGUUAUUCUUUUUAUUUUCUUUGUUUUAAUCAUAAACAUGAAAAGUACACAAAAUGUGUCACUUAAGUUCCUAACACCUGAAAUUUAAUGAUUUUUCUGUUUUUGUACACAUCAAGAUUUAAGAAAACUUUUGUCCUAUAUCGUUGUAAAUAUACUUUUGUCCAUACCAAAAAUAGAAAAAAAUAAUGGAAAAAAAAGAGAAAAAAGAGCUCACACACAGAAAAGAAGCACAAAACAAAAGAAUAAAAGUUGAAAACAAUUCUAAUAAAUUUCGAAACACUUGUUCGUCAUAUUUUUAUUUUAAGCUUAAAUUCUAUACAAAUUUCAGUCAAAUCAUCAUUUUACAAACGGAGGAAGGUCUAAAUCUGGUUAAAUCACGUAAAUAUGCACGUUUAGUAUGAAAUGAAUGACAACUUUUACUCUUUAAUGACCUUAAAGAUAUAAAAUCUACAUAAAAAUCAACUUUUAUAAGUGAGUAAUUCAAACUAUGGUAAACUUGUAAAGGAAACUCUACUGAUUCACUCAAAUGCAAAUAGAAAGAUAAUAAUGAUACAAUUCAAAAAAAAUCGAAUACAAAAAUUCAAAAAUAAGGAUUUUAAUCUAUAUAUAAAUAUUAAAUAAGAAUCUGCGUCUCUUUAAAUUAAAAAUUUAAUACCCAUUAAAAGCUACGAAACUGGUCGAUGGCUAUAAAUAGUAAGAAUUUCUACUUUGGGACAGGGAUUACACCGAAUCUUUAAUUUCAUUUGUGCAUGAAACAAUAAUGUGUAAUAUGUGUAAAAAACUAAUAGAUUCCACUUCAGGUAGGGAUAAUACGAAUAAUUCAACAAACCAAUACAGACAUUUUCCACUUCAGGUAGGGAAUAAAAUAAAAACAUCCUUAUCUUGAAUGAUAUUGUCUACACAUA